rnacentral:rRNA from 1 species
AGAGUUUGAUCCUGGCUCAGAUUGAACGCUGGCGGCAUGCCUUACACAUGCAAGUCGAACGGUAACGGGCCUUCGGGUGCCGACGAGUGGCGAACGGGUGAGUAAUGCAUCGGAACGUACCUUUCAGUGGGGGAUAACGUAGCGAAAGUUACGCUAAUACCGCAUAUUCUGUGAAGCAGGAAAGCAGGGGAUCGCAAGACCUUGCGCUGAUUGAGCGGCCGAUGUCAGAUUAGCUAGUUGGUGAGGUAAAGGCUCACCAAGGCGACGAUCUGUAGCGGGUCUGAGAGGAUGAUCCGCCACACUGGAAACUGAGACACGGUCCAGACUCCUACGGGAGGCAGCAGUGGGGAAUUUUGGACAAUGGGGGCAACCCUGAUCCAGCCAUGCCGCGUGAGUGAAGAAGGCCUUCGGGUUGUAAAGCCUCUUUCGGCCGGGAAGAAAUCGCAUGGGUUAAUACCCUGUGCGGAUGACGGUACCGGCAUAAGAAGCACCGGCUAACUACGUG